GACGAACGCUGGCGGCGUGCUUAACACAUGCAAGUCGAGCGGUAAGGCCCUUUCGGGGGUACACGAGCGGCGAACGGGUGAGUAACACGUGGGUGACCUGCCCUCAGCUCUGGGAUAAGCCUGGGAAACCGGGUCUAAUACCGGAUAUGACUCCAUGACGCAUGUUGUGGGGUGGAAAGCCUUGUGCGGCUGAGGAUGGGCCCGCGGCCUAUCAGCUUGUUGGUGGGGUGAUGGCCUACCAAGGCGA
rnacentral:rRNA from 1 species